GUGUAACAGUCAUCUCUGUGGCUGUGGUGGCUGGAUCUUAAACUGUCUGCUCUUCUGGGACUGUGCAGCCUCCCACUGUGGCUGCAGCACUCCGCCCUGGCCCCUUCUCCAUCCCCUCUUGCCGAUUUCUGCUUCUGUCUGGGUAUUCCUCCCUGCCUGAGCCUCCUUUCAGCUUUUUUUGUUUGUUUGUUUUAUUGUCCAGUUGCAUUUUUAUUACAAGGAUCUGAACAUGCCCUUAUUCGCCUUCAUUCUGAGCCUCCAUAUCCGGGACCGGCCGCUCUUCUCCAGCCGUGGAGGCGUGCAGGUCUCUCUGCUGCCUGAGGGCUCUCUCUGUGCUCUCUGCUCCCAGGUGCCCAGGGUGAUUUUCUGGUGUCAUCCAGUGGGGGGUUGGUGGGGGUCGGAAGCCCAUGCUCCCCAGCUUUAGAGGCUCUUGGCUUCCAGCCUGUGCACCCUGUGCUCUGGUGACGAUGCAGCGAGAGCAUGUGCUGGGCCCUUUGUCCCCAAGCCUCCUCUCCUGCUGGGCCUUCUCCUGUCUGUAUUCCAGCCCCCAGUCCAAGCUGAGGCUGCCAUUCUGUUCCUGAAACCUGCACAUCUGACUCUCCAUCUGUGGUGGCCUCUAUGAAUGCUUGUGGGACCAGAGGGUCCUGGAGACGGCUGGAACCCAAGGUCUCCACUCAGUUUCCCGGGUCACUGCCUUCCAGAAGCUUUGAGGUGGACUCCAGUAAGCCCUGGACACUGCUGGGUCCCCCAGCUGGUGUCUCGUGACCCCGUGGGACCCACAGCCUGGUUUUCCACCCCCGGGGGCUGUGCUGAUGUACUCUUUGUUGAGUCUGUCCUAGCCAGCGACCUGGGACUGAAGAUGGACGCUUGGCUCACUUUCUGUUGUCAUUUCAGCUUAGCUACUUCUCAAUACUGCCACAGCUGGGACUACGCACUGGCUCUGUGGCGGUGGCCGUUGCCUUACCUAGGACGGAGCCCUCCUCCGCUCUGUCCCAGGUCUGUGCUCUUCCGUGCUAUGGCCCCUUGCUCCACACUGUGGAUGCCAUGACCUUGUCCCCGCCUUCCCCACGAGGACUGGGCCAGCCUCAGACCUCCAGCCUCUGUUCCCGUCUCCCUCCUGGAUCCAGGAGGCUGGGUUUCCGUUUUGGGCUGAAGGCACUGGUUCUUGGAGGGACGAUUUGCUCCUCUUGGUAACACCUGAAGACGUUGUCUCAGUAGGGAUAGGAAGUACUGGAAAUGCCCUGGUCCUUAUGGGGGGGCAGGGAUGCUGCCCCACAUCCUCCAGUGAACAGGAGGUUCCUUUGACCCCAUCAGCAGAGAAAUCUAGCCCCAACUCUCCUAAGAAGAGUGGAUGGAGGGAGCUGGAAGCAGUCAGUAGGAAGAGGCCAGGAGGACCUGGCCAGUGCUCCCACUGGUGUCCAGGAGGUGGAAGUUCACUUUUUCCCUCUCAAUGCUCGGGUUAAGCUGUGGUGUGAGUAACAGAAAGGCAGCACAGUGCGGCCACAGGGUUCUGAGCAAGCAGGGGUCCCGCAGACCCCGGUAGAGUACCUAGAUCAAAACCUUCCCCACCCUAGCACUCGCAGCGCCUUCAGAGUGAGGGGUCACCAUCCCACAAGGCCAGAAGGCCACAAGGCUCAGAGAGGUAGAGAGGCCUCCCAGAGCCACACAGCCUGAAGCCAGAAGCAGAACCUGGGCCUGAGCCUGCAUGAUCUAAAGCUGCCCUCUUGGCACUAGGGCAGACGGGAGGGGGUCUGCAGGGUGCAGGAGAUCACCUUGGAUAUGGUGGCCAGCCUCUGCUCCACGCUGGCGAGCAGGCUGGUGGAAGUCUUCUCUUGUAGCUGUAGCUGGUGCCAGAGCUGCAGCAGGGCUGCCAGCUGGGAGCUGCUGGUGUUGGCGGCGGCUGUGGACAGGAUGCCCCGCAUGACCUCGGAGGCUGUGCAGCUCUGGAAAAGAUCAGCCAGGUGCUGUGGGGGGAGGCUCACUGGGCUGGACAGAGGGCAGUCAGACUGUGUGGCACACUCCCCCGACAGCCUCGCCUCUCCGGGCCAUGCUCUCUGGUGUCUGUGCUGGCCCACUGUGGGGACUGAGGGGAGCUCAGAGUGUGCUUGAGCCCCAAGCAUCUGUGGCUGGACUCUGCAGCUUCAGGCCCAGCCUCCUUCCAGCCGAUGGCUGUGGCCAGGCCCAUUGGCCUGCAGCUCUUCUCUCUAAUGGAGCCAAUUCCCACGAUGACAGUCCCAGCCAGAAGGGGCCCCUGGGUGCUGGGGGAUGCCUUCCAUACUCUGAGCUGCAGACACACAGGGCAGAGCCAUACCUGAGACAGUGCCAGGAACUGGCAGGUGGCCACCGGGUCCAGGGUGCCGAUGCAUUCCACCAUCUCUAGGCUGGCGGCAGCUGCGAUGCCCAGGAGGCCUCUGUCCAGGGCUACCUGCAGGCACUGCAGCAGCACCUCAGAGGUCUGGGCCAGGUACCUCUGGGCCAGCACCAUCCUCCUCUGCAGGUAGAAAGGGCUCAGGCUCAGUGCUGUGCGGACAGAGGCCACUGGGGGGCAGCAGUAAUGCACAUACCCUCAGACUCUCGCCCUUUUUGCAGUUCCCCUCAGGGGCUGCUCCGAGGGCUGGCAGGUCCCUGAGAAAGGCCUUGGCACUCUUGUUCUCUGCUUCUUGCUCUAGAGAUCGGAGCCUGCUCAGCUUAGCGCCCACCUACAAAGCACACAGCAGGAGGCAGAGGGCACUGUGGAUUCCUGCUUGGUCAGCAGGGGUCCCCAGGGCCACUGUAGACUGAGUUCUGGCCUUCCACCGCCCGAAGCCUGCCUGCCCUUGUCCAAGCCUGAUUUAGUGGACUUGGGAAGGUUUUGGUCUGAGGGCCUGAGCUGAUUGCCAGCUGCCACCAGGUGGGGAGGUGGCACUCAGGGAGACCAAGCACCCUGGUCUUGGGACAGAGGCAUCAGGCUGGCGUGGCAGCACCAAGCUGAGGUGCCCACCUGUGCUCUGGGAGCUCAGUCUGGCCAGGAAACAAACAGAAGGAAGGGAAGGGGAAGGGCAGGUCAAGGGAGAGUGGCCAGGGAACUGGGGCUGAUGGUGAGCCCUGGAUGUGUGUAGCCCAGGGUCACAGUCCUAGUGGGACACUGCAGACUGUCUCAGUCCCUGGGGGUCAGGUAGAGGGGAAUCCAGAGGCUGUGCAGGGCCCAGGUGGCCUUGGUCUAGAGACAGCCAGAGCCUGCUGCCCCACUGAUGCCCGAGCGAGCAGAAUGUCCACCAGACCCACCAGCACUGGGCCACACAGCCUCAGCCAACCCAGGAGACUGGGAUCCCCGGCCCAGUUUCCAAACACAACCAUCAGACUGGAAAUCAGUGACGAUGAGGCCUGUGGACAGCACGCUCAGAAUCACCCCCCGCGUUGGCCAGGAAUCCCACGGAGCUUAGGAAACAGAGAGUGAAAUGGUCCCAGGGCAGACCUGGAGACUUGGCCCCAGCAGAGCUCCGAGGAGGGGUGCCUCCUGGAAGAGGAGAAGGAGGCCAGAGACGACUCCGACUUUCCCCAGAGGCCCAGCAGCCAGGAGGAAGGAACAGGUCUACUGCGGAGCCUGGACUGGGAAGCGGGAUCACCUACCGAGAAGCCGUCUUCCCAGCACAAGUCGGGGCGAAGAGGGUCUGCCUGCAUGGCCAGCAGGUGCAGGGCCCUCCCGGCCAGGCCCAGGAGCUGGGCACGGAUCUCCACGCAGCCAGCGCUCAGUGGCUGCAGGCUCUCCAGCUGUGCCAGCACCGAGUGGGCCAGGGUGCGCUUCAGCAUGAACCAUUGCUUCAGGGGGAGGAGAGGCUUUGUCAAGACCAGGGGCCUCUCUGCGGCCUCUACCUGCCCACCACAUGGCGCAGCCCACCAGCCCUUAACAGGCCCUGGGAGGUGGGGUGGGGGUCUCCAGGGCUUAGGUGUGGGAAGGCCAAACUGUGUUCUUAUAUAACCUUGACUGGCAGCUCACUGGAAUAUCAAGUUCAAUUUCAGGGCUGUCUUUGGUUCAUUUGUAUUUAUGUCAAAUUGGUUUGAUUCAUAUUUCAUGAUAUCUAAGCAAAUGUAAAAUGGAAGGGUUCAUAUUUCCUUCCAAAUAUCUUGCAUAUUCAAUUCAUUUUUUGUUUUUGCUUUUGCGGUACUGGGGCUGAAACGGGGGCCUUGUGCUGCUGGUCAAGCCUGUACCCCUGAGCCACACCCCAGCCUGCCUCUGGGUCUUUUUAAGUGCAGUGUGGCCCUCCACUGUCCCUCUGCAGCCCACUGGCCACUCAGCUGAAGCCCAGCGCUAUCACACCAUUAGUCUCAAGACCUGGGGGACAACCCUGAGGUGGCACAGGGAGCACCUGCUCUACUUAGCCAGGUGCUUACUGCUGCAAACCCCAGGUCCCUGCCCAGGACUGCGCCAGAAACAUCUUUGCAAUGAUGGACAUUUUUUCCUUGAAUUCAAACACUUUCCCUUUUGAUUUCUUCUGUGGCCCAUAGCUGUAUGAGUGUAGGCUUUUUAAUUUCCAACUAUUUGGGGCUUCCCACAUAUAUAGCUUUUGAUUUUUUGAAUUGAGGUAAAAAGUAUAUAACAUAAAAUCAACCAUUUUAAAGUGUACAAUCAGGGGCCACCACAUGGUGCAAGCUUCAGCUCUUGUUCCUGAACAUGUUCAUCCCUCCUGGGAAAGGCCUUGUCCCCCAGGUCAGCCUUCACCUUCCUCAUUGCACCCCCCACACCCCCUAGUCUGCUUCCAGUAACUGUGGAUCCAUCCAUUUCAAUUUUAACUCCACUGUGGUGCCAGUGCAGGCUUUGUCUGACUUAAAUCCUUUGACUUCAUUGAGACUUGUUUCAUGGUACAGAAUAUAGUCUGUGUUGAAGGUUCUUUGAGCACGUGAGAGAAGGUCAUCCACUGUUGUUGGUUGGGUGGGAUACUUUAUAAAGAGCUGUCAGAGCCUAUUGACUGACUGAUUCAGAUCCUCCAGUCCUUUGCUCAUUUUCUUCCUACUCAUUCCACUAAUGAUUGAGAGGAAAUUGAAAUUUUUCACCAUAAUCAUAGAUUUGUCUCUGCCUUCAUUGUAAUUUUAAAAAGUCAGGUUUUACUUAAUUUUUUUUUUUAGAAAAUCAGCCACUUUGGAAAGUAGCAUGGAGAUUCCUCAAAAAAUCUGGAAUGGAACUAGCAUAUGACCCAGCUAUCCCCCUCUUUGGUAUUUAUCCAAAAGAGUCACUAUAGUGACACUACAUUCUCACGUUUAUACAGUGCCACCCACAAUCACCAAGUUAGGGAACCUCAGUGCCUACCUCCAUGGGCUAAUAAAAUGUGGAGCAUAUACA